AGUGUGAUAGCUGAGUCGAAUGGUGGUUGCAUUCCAUGUUUUCUGAGGAAUCUUCAAACUGCUUUCCAUAGUGGUUGCACCAAUUUGCAGUCCCACCAGCAAU
rnacentral:pre_miRNA from 1 species